rnacentral:rRNA from 1 species
UGGGGAAUUUUGGACAAUGGGCGAAAGCCUGAUCCAGCAAUGCCGCGUGUGUGAAGAAGGCCUUCGGGUUGUAAAGCACUUUUGUCCGGAAAGAAAUGGCUCUGGUUAAUACCUGGGGUCGAUGACGGUACCGGAAGAAUAAGGACCGGCUAACUACGUGCCAGCAGCCGCGGUAAUACGUAGGGUCCAAGCGUUAAUCGGAAUUACUGGGCGUAAAGCGUGCGCAGGCGGUUGUGCAAGACCGAUGUGAAAUCCCCGAGCUUAACUUGGGAAUUGCAUUGGUGACUGCACGGCUAGAGUGUGUCAGAGGGGGGUAGAAUUCCACGUGUAGCAGUGAAAUGCGUAGAGAUGUGGAGGAAUACCGAUGGCGAAGGCAGCCCCCUGGGAUAACACUGACGCUCAUGCACGAAAGCGUGGGGAGCAAACAGGAUUAGAUAGCCCUGGUAGUCCACGCCCUAAACGAUGUCAACUAGUUGUUGGGGAUUCAUUUCCUUAGUAACGUAGCUAACGCGUGAAGUUGACCGCCUGGGGAGUACGGUCGCAA